AAUACGACACGUAAAGAAACCUGGAUUGAAACAAAGAAAUGAAGAACACUAGAAAUGAAAUAAAUAAAGGUAUCCUGGCUUCCUCCCACACCCCAAAGCUGUGCACACGAGGUGAACUAGCGUACCCACAUGGACCUCAUCUGUGUGAGUGUGGGUGUGUUUGAGUGCACCCUCUGAUGGCAUAUCAUCCUGUCCAGGGUCGUUCUUCUAUUGCUCUGAACUGCCAGGAGUGGCUCUACCCACCUGUGACCCCAAACUCGUCUCAGCAGACAUGGUUUCCCUUUAUCGCUGAAGCUGGAAUACAGGGAUUAUAGCUCACUGCAGCCUUCGGCUCCUGGGCUCAAGUGAUAAUCUUGCCUCGGUAUCCCAAGUUGCUGAGUACCUGAGACUAAAGGUUUAUACUCACCUGUCCAUCAUGUGGAAGCUGGAGAGUCACUUCUUUUGAUAAUUCAAGAAUCUUGGGAUACUUCAGAGAACAAUUCUCAAACAACAACUUCAAACUGACAGACAGACUUCAAGGAACUAUGCAGGAUAGAUGGGUGGCCAAAUGACAAGCUUGGAAAGCUACAAGGGAGUGCUACCUGCUCCUCUCCGUCCAUUCUUUGCUCUCUACUCUGAACUCCAUGUCUUCCACCAAGGUUCACUUCACCACUGUGUCAUUAAAAUGUUCAGUACCAAUAUGCAGACUGUCCGCAAUGAUAGGUAUAAACUGUUCAAGAAGACACCCAUUUCUAGCAAAAUUUCUGACUCCUUUCAAAAUAAAAAUUGGCCCUCUUACAGUAAUUUCACACUGAUAUAUGGCAGGGAUUAAUCCAAAAUGCCUGCAUAUAUUCAGGAUAGCUUUCCUGAGUUGAUUGGCCUUUGACUGUGAAAUUUUAACUACAAAAAUCAAGUUUAUGAAUCAUAUUUGUAUGUACAAAGACAUUCACUGUCAACUGACCUGUGAAAACAUAAAUCAUAUUACCAGUAUGGGGAUUAUUAUUAUAAAAGAAAUCUUUAUGUAGAGAAGAAUUACUAAUGAGUCAAAGCAAACUCUCCCUUUUAAUGAACAAUUCCUGAAAUGUUUCAUAAUGCAGGAAAAAUUCCAGUCUGUCUACAACCCUUUCCCUAUAGCUCUGUGGUUCUGUAUGAUAAUGAGGGAAAUUUAUUAUUGC
rnacentral:lncRNA from 1 species